rnacentral:rRNA from 1 species
CAAGGAAUUUUCCGCAAUGGGCGCAAGCCUGACGGAGCGACGCCGCGUGGAGGAAGACACUUUUCGGAGCGUAAACUCCUUUUCUGGGGGAUGAAGGCAGUGACAGUACCCCAGGAAGAAGGACCGGCUAACUACGUGCCAGCAGCCGCGGUAAGACGUAGGGUCCGAGCGUUGUCCGGAGUUACUGGGCGUAAAGGGCGCGUAGGCGGUUUUGUGCGUCACCCGUGAAAGCCCCUGGCUCAACCAGGGAGGGUCGAGUGAAACGGCGAAACUGGAGGCAGUGAGAGGCUGGUGGAAUUCCCGGAGUAGUGGUGAAAUGCGUAGAGAUCGGGAGGAACACCGGUGGCGAAGGCGGCCAGCUGGCACUGACCUGACGCUGAGGCGCGAAGGCGUGGGGAGCGAACG